rnacentral:rRNA from 1 species
GUCCACGCCCUAAACGAUGUCGACUGGUUGUUGGGGUUUGACACUCUCAGUAACGAAGCUAACGCGUGAAGUCGACCGCCUGGGGAGUACGGCCGCAAGGUUAAAACUCAAAGGAAUUGACGGGGACCCGCACAAGCGGUGGAUUAUGUGGAUUAAUUCGAUGCAACGCGAAAAACCUUACCUACCCUUGACAUGUCCGAGAGCCCGUAGAGAUAUGGGUGUGCCCGAAAGGGAAUCGGAACACAGGUGCUGCAUGGCUGUCGU